rnacentral:lncRNA from 1 species
GAGCUUCUCAGAACUGAAGGUGAAAGAGGUGAGUUAGAGCACCCUAAAUUACAGUGGCAUCGCAGUGCCCUGGGAGGUCGGAAUUUCUGGACUGUUCCCAGUGAGCUGGCUGCUCUGGCCUCCCAAAGAUGUAUGGGCUCCCGCACUCUCUGGAGGGGACGCACUGCUUAUUUCUUCAGCCUACAUCCUAGAUUCCAAUUGCUUUUGCAGGUGGAAAGCACUGAGCAGUGAGGCCUUGAUGGUCAGAUUUUCCAUUCAAAGACGGAAAGGCAUGAGCUAUGACAUUUUAAGAAAAUAUUAUUUCCUCACUCAGCAGCUUCACAUGCUUUUCAAGAUGGAAAACAAUGAAAGAAGCAGAGCUAGUCACAGGAGUCUGCUCCUUUCAAAUUCAUCUCACAGCACAGGUUUCCAGUAAGAGGAGAACUCUUUUUAAGAUUGACGGACAGAAGAAAUCAACUUUCCAUGAACUCAUUAAAAAACAACAACAACCAUAAAUUGUUUAGACUGGGUGCGGGUGGCUCACGCCUGUAAUCCCAGCACUUGGUGAGGCCAAGGUGGGUGAAUUGGUUGAGCCCAGGGGUUCAAGACCAGCCCGGCCAACAUGGUGAAACCCAUCUCUACAAAAAAUUCAAAACUUAGCCAGGCUUGGUGGCACAUGCCUGAAGUCCCAGCUACUUGGGAGGCUGAGACAGGAAGAUUGUUUGAGCCUGGGAGGCAGAGAUUGCAGUAAACCAAGAUAGCAUCACUGCACUCCAGCCUGGGCAACAGAAUGAAAAGCAUUCAAUUGUGCAGUGAAAUCCUGCUUUGAAGAUAGAUGGAAAGAGCACUGGGAGAUGUUCCGGUGGUGGUCCUGGCCACAACAGUGCUGCCCUCCAGCAAGCCUGGGUCGGGCACCUCUGUCUCCUCCCAUACAGGAACAGAAUUUACACUCAGCCCUGGUAACCAGUCUAUCGGUCAGUACCAGCCUCAGGAAAACUUUAGAGUUAUGCUUGCGAGAGCACUAACUGUUACAAGGAGGGUGAGAUCUGGAGUUCCAGAAAAAUAAGAGAGAAUCUUGCAUCUGGAGCAUAAAUGAUCUUCAAGAAAUACACACAGGAAGUUGAACAGGUGUAUAAACUUCGGAGAAGCUCUCUGGUCUCUCAAAAAUCCCUGUGAAUAUCUCAGAGCAGCUGGGAUGCCUCAUUAUCCCCGGAUGCCUAAUUCAUUCUCAUUAUUGUGACUUCAAUCUUUAGUAUCUCAACAAAUAUGGAUAUCCAGCCACUUCUCAACCCCAAAUUCUCAAGAAAAAGUGGGAUCAUGAGCUGCAUAUUUGAUCCAAUGAAGCUUUGUCAAGUCCUGGGAGUGUCAUCUUCCUAUUUUAGAUAUAACUGUGGCCAAAAUAUUUAUCUACCACAUAGCUCAUAUUUUCCUUCUCCAAGAAUACAACAGUUGCCCUGAUUAAUAUCUCUUUUGAAAAACUCUAAAAUGCCAGCUACUCACUGUUUCCAAUUACUCGAAGGAAAGCUAACUUCCAGAGAGUCUAUCUGCAUGUAAUUAUUUCAAAUAUUUCUAAGUACUUGGGAGGAACAGCUCUUGAAAUUUGAGUCUCUGAUCACCAGUAUAUGAAUUCAAGUGCCUUUGGGACAUAAAGAAAACAAGAGUGUUCAUUUGAAGGAGGGAGGGUAGGAAAAAUAGAAGGAAGUGUAGUGUUUAGAUUCACUGGUUUGGAAAGACUUUAAAAAUAUUUAUAUCAGUAUUGAGGAUUUGUGUAUGUUUUAUUUCUUGUCAUGGCUUUGAAGAAGUUACAUGUAUAUCCUCAAAGAUUUUAAGUAUUAUUUCAUAGAGAACAUGGUACUAUUUAUAAAUACAAAUGUAUGAGAUGACUUUUAAUUUUGUUUUAUUUUUGCUGCAUCUCUUUGACUGCAUUUUUUUAAACUUGAUUUCUUCUAAACCUUGUGAGCACGCUAAUAAUACAGGACAGUGGUUUAUGGGACUUCUCUGAAAUGACAUCUGGAAAACCAAUUAAUGAUAUCUCAGGUUGAGCAAGUAUCCAUGCUGUGGUUCAGAUGUAUCCUAGUCUCCUGAUAAAGUUAAUAUACAGGUUUAAAGUACAAUAAUAAUAAUUAAUAAUAACAAUAUAGCUAUGCUAUAUGGAUCCUGAAAAAAUAAAAGAAAUAGAAAGUUCUCCUUCCU